UACGUAGGGUGCAAGCGUUGUCCGGAAUUAUUGGGCGUAAAGCGCACGUAGGCGGCUUUGUAAGUUAGAGGUGAAAGCCCGGGGCUCAACCCCGGAAUUGCCUUUAAGACUGCAUCGCUUGAAUCCAGGAGAGGUGAGUGGAAUUCCGAGUGUAGAGGUGAAAUUCGUAGAUAUUCGGAAGAACACCAGUGGCGAAGGCGGCUCACUGGACCGGCAUUGACGCUGAGGUGCGAAAGCGUGGGGAGCAAACAGG
rnacentral:rRNA from 1 species